ensembl:lncRNA
UUUUUUUUUUUUUUUAAUUAAUUCAGGCUAAAUGCCUUUAAUAACUGCAGAGCUGAGAAGAAAGAACUCUGCUGUAAACAGUGUUUUGAUUUCAUCUGACCCCUGCAUUAUGAGAUCAGAUCUUUAGAUACGUUGUCUGGAAAUGUAAUAGUCCUGGAUUUUUAACUCAGACACACCUGGUAGUAGGAUAUUGAACUAGCAAAAUGUGCUCAGGAAAUUCAAAGGGUAUCUGUGGUGAAAGUAAGUCAGUACCUUGCAUCUGUAUUCCUCUCUGUAGUGCCUUGGAAAGCAUAAUCCAAUAGUGCUUCCCAACAAGCAAAGUGGAAUGAAUACUUUCCUGCUUUGCAUGCCAUUCACAUGAAGAAAUCAAUUUUUCGUUUUUAAAUAUAACAUUGCACCUCCUUACAAUUUCUAAGGCUAUGUACUGCAAUUUGCUGGCACAAACAAUUGAUCCUAUAAACUUCGGCAAUAUCAGGUAACAUCUGUGGGGAUUUCAAUCAAUAAAUAAGCUCUCCUCUGCUGCUGAGCGAUUUCAACACCAUCUCACCAACAAAUGUCUUUGUUUAAUGCUGUGAAAAUGGCCAACCAUACCGUGUCACCCUAGAGUGAAAGAAAUUUGGAAUCUGAAAGCAUGGGCAGUGGAGAACCAUGCACUAUAAUUAAUUCCCUGGAGCACUCUCUAUCAGUGGGUUUGUGGAUAACCAUACAGGUAAGAACUUCUGCCUCCUGGGAUCUAAUCUCAGAGACACUGAACAGGGAUAUUUGGAGUCUACAAUAGGAAGCAACUUCACACUAGUCCCAAAAAGAGGAUCAGAGUGGUAAUCUCAACAUAUGGGGCUGCCAGAUUUCCCAACUGUACGGAAGACACGAGUGCCUUUUUCUGUGCCAGAGUUAAGGUGCUUGCUCUGAUAAUGAGCACUAGGGAGUUGAUUAGAUCUCUAGAAAGAAGACAGCAGCUUGGAGAAAAAGCUUUUGGGAAUUUUCCUCUUCUGUACUAAGUCUUGGCUUGAGUGACAUUGUUGAUGUCCGGUUGAAUGCAGCCAGGGGACAAGAGGGGGUUAUGAGAUGGGUGGAUCUGCCUUUAUCAGAAGGCAUUUUACAACAAUUCCGUUUGAAAGCAAUAAAAUAAAUCUUUCUGCAUGUAACUAUUUGAGUUUUCUUUUUAAGGCUUUAGACUUCUUCAGAAAUUAGGCUUUUAGUUGAGCUAGAGAGGUGGUCAGCUGUGUUCUGUCUUUCUCGGGAAGAGGAACCUAAAAAACAAAUACUAAAAUUUUGGUGUGGGUUUGGUUCUUUUGAGGUUUAUUUUUGGGGGUUUUUUUGACCAAUAUUUUAGCACUUCUCCCUGUCCUAUGCUGGGCUGCUGUAAAUUGUAUUGUCCCAGCUGCUCUGUACAGGCUCCCUUCCCCAUGAAACAACCUUCUACUACUCUGUUUUGUCCCUACAACCAGGUUUAACUCCCCUGGAAUGGAUGAAGUAAAUCAAGGAUCAACUCACUAGAUGCUUUUGCUUCAGCUUAGAGAUGGUUUGUUGCUCUUUAAAGGGGGCAGUGAACACCCUUCAAAUUUUGUUAAAAUAUAUUUUAACAUAAAAUGUACUAAACAAAAAGAUUAGAGCAGGCAGUUCUCCAAAUUCUGUUCCUGUUUCACUCCAUGCACCAACUUCAGCUUGGAACAUAGAUGCAUUACUAGGAUGAGAUGUUGUUGUUUUGAUUGUUUAGUGCUGAAUUUUACUAAAGGCGCCAGCUGUCAGUGGUAAGUGGGUUUCUGGUCUGAGAGAAAAGUCUGCAAGAGUAUACCUUGUUAGGGCACCUAUCAGCUCCCCAUGGAUUCACCUUAUCUAAUCAACUGUUUGGAAAAACACUGUAGUCAGUUCCUGUGGAGCUGAUAUAACUGUCAAAGAUAUUGGCAUAUAUUAAUACAAUUGCCAUGUCCAUUCCCAGACACUGAUUCCAUAAACGGUAUGCUAAAUCUCUUCUUUAGACGCUUGUGUGGGGAGAUUUUAUUAUUUAUUAAGAGGGUCAAAGUAGAAGAUGGGGAAACUGAAACCCUUCGGACCACAGCACCAGUCCUGGAAGGGGUUUGAAUCCCGUGGGUGCUCCCAGCAUCGUUGGCACCAUCCAGCUGGCUGGGGCUGAUACUAAGAAUAUCAGUUAGUGAUAUGCGGGGAAAAUUGUUUUACAGGAGCACCUGCAGGCUGCAGCCAAGAACUGUGCAGAUGCUGACUGUGUAAGUAUUGUGCACAUCCUGAGGCACAGUCUCUGCCCUCAGUAUGCAGUAUAGGCAAAGGCAACAGACGAAGGGCAUAUACACAGAGAGGGUGGCAGAAAUACUAUCUCUCUUUAGCAGAUGAGGGACUAUACAAUCUUAAGGCCAGAACGCUAGCAACUGAACACCAGGGUCAGAUUCCCAUAAAAGGAAUUGUUUAUCAAUGUUUUUCAUUUGUAAGUAGCAUCUUCAUUCAGGAAGAGAAAGGAAUAGUGCUGCAUCUGAAUGAAAAUCCUUAGGUGUUAUGGCAAUGUAUUAAAACAUAGCACAUCCGAGUGUUUGUCAAAUACAAUAUGCAAGUGGCUAAUGCUGCAGUCAAAUGCAUUUUCCAAGGAAUCAGCUGCUUUCUUAUUGCAUUUAUCAAAUAUAUCUCCAUGGAAUGAUAUUUUCUAAGACAUGAAUCAACACAACAUAUGUUAUAGUGCUUCAGCUUUGUUUUCAUAAUGAAAAGAGCUGCUUUAAUAGCAUCUGUUGUAGGGCUAGGAACAUAUCCUGCCACAGUUUCUCAGUAAAAAACCUCCAAUUUCAAGCCAAAGAACUUGGAUCUGGGUUUAAAGGAAUGGGCAGGCUAGUCUGCUCUCCUCUCCUUUCUUUAAUUAUUUAUCAGAGUUAACACAAAAGAAUAGCAAAGGAAACACUCAAAAAAUUCUGUGUCAUUUUGGGAUACAUAUUUUCUUUUUAAACCAGCAAGGAAUUUUGGCUACAAAGUCCUAUUGAAGUAAUUUUUUUUUUAUUUUUCACUUAGGGUUGUAUCUUGCUAGGCUGCAGUUGUCUUCUCAAAUGUACAUUGUAGAUUAUCUUCCUUUGAAAGAAGAGUAAAAUGAAAACUUGCUGUAUUGGGACUUGGUAAACAGCCUCUAAUCUAAUUUAUAUUACGGGGCACCAAUUACUGGGGAAUUCAUAUGCUACUAAAUGUCAGUUCCACUCUUGUCCUAGCAAUGAAAAAAAAAAUCCGUAAGUCAUUCUAAUCAUGACAAUGCCACACUGAAAAAUCUCCUUAUUGCUCUUCCACAAUUCCCUUGAUAACUGGGACCUUUUCAAUGUCCUUCUAUUCUUACCACUGCCCCGCAGUAGAAGGAGGUAGCAGAUGUUUGAGUUUUAAUUUCUUUCUCUAGGACCAGUAACAAAAACAUAAUGGCAGAAGGUUUGACUAGAUUUCUUUCCUUUUGACCCACUAAGGUACACGGAGGUACAGAAAAAAAAGCAGUUAGGAUCAAGAGAUUGCAUUGGGUUUUUAGCCGCUCUAAAUACUCUAGCUGUGGUUAAUAUUUCAUAGUUCCAUGCAGUGUGGUAAACACAAAGGUGUGUGAUGAGUGGUACCUGAUCCAAACAGCUUCAGUCUAAAUCAGACCCAUGGGGAUUUGACAGGAAAAGGGGAAAGAAGGAAGAUGUCUGAAGACAACAGAGAGGGCUUUUAGGGCAAUAAAUCAUGAAUUACACUAGCCUCUGCUUCCUCAGUUUGGUUUUACAAUUCUUACAAGCAGAACUGUAGUCAAGUUUAUUCAAAUAAAAGCUAACCCCAGCACAGAGAAUACCCUUUGAAAUCCCCUAUUUAUUCAAUAGAUAAGGGUAUGUGAACCCUUAUGCUUUGGUGAUGGGUAUUGAAAUGCUCGGAUUGAUACAUUUUCCCAUAUAUAAAAAUAGAGAAGGAAAAUAUAAAACUUUGACGUAUAAAAGGAUGUUAAACUAGAAACAUAAUUUAAAAGAACAAUGCCAGUGCUUGAGUGUCUGGCAAUUUCUGUUUCAUGAAUUGUAAUCUUUGAUGGCGGGCAGGGAGGAGAGAUCAUUUCAAGUCAGUGAAGCAACAGAGAAAAUUUCUGAUGAAAACCCAGGUUGGCUUGAAGAUACUUUUAGAUCUUUGUGACUCAUGCUGGCAAGGUCUGAAGACUUUUUGUGUCAGCGAGAACUUAGGACCUUGCCUGGUCAUCCUCCAGAAAUGACUCUUCUGGGGCUGAUAGGGUGAAUGGAGUAAGCCACUGCCUGGAGACACAGGCUAACUAUGUGCUAACACAGUCAGAUCAGCCCAUAGGCAAUAUCUCCUACCCACCACCUACUAGGAUAUCUACUAUAUGGAUGUGUGAGUACGCAGUCACAAGUAAGGCAGUCUUGUCUGUCAGGUGCAUAUAAUCCCUUCUAUAGGAAGAGACAAAUGGUUCCUGCCUCAUCAUAGGAUGGGAAGAGGCAGAUACCUGAUACACAGCCCAUGAUAAACACAGAUUUUGCCUCUUCACCAAGACACUUUCCUUGUUCCUUUUUCUUGUGUUAGCUUGCAUCAUCCUCACAGAGCACAACACUUCCAGCAGGCAGAAAGGUCAUGCGUCUGGCCCCAGCUAAACAGUCCCCAGCAUUUUUCUACUGCCCUGGUGUUAAGUUUCUUGGAGAACAUCCUGCCAUGCUGAUAGCAAAGAUGACAGCAGUGUCUGCUUACUAAAAUGGGGAUGGUGAAGACUAAAUUUGAGCCAAGGAUGUGCCACAGAGCUCAAUAGAGCUACCUGUUCCUGCCCCUCUUCUCACUGGAAUUCUUGUCGUUGAGGUGUUUCUGCUCUUUCAUACAUCCAUGCUGAUGAGGAAAGCAAAACAAACUUUAAAAAGGCAGUGUGGGUUGUAUUCAAGACUAUUCUGGCAGCAAGCUUAUGUACUAGAUGGACACAAAUACAAAAAAAUCCCCCAAACACAUUUUUUGUUUGUAGUUCUGGUUUUUUGUUUUAAGGGUUUUUUUGUUUGGUUUUGUUGUUUGUUUAGUUUUUUUUCCCUAGAGAAUAUUAUUCUCUAUGUUGCUGUGUUGUAUUUAAUACACUAAGCAUCCCAAGUAAUGAUGCAAUUUUGACAACAUUUUAAUUCACUGAUGAAGUAAUGUUGCUUCUGAAAACCUGGAACAUGUGGCAUAUUCUCACUUGUAAUCUCCAUUGCAUGAAGCUCUAUAAGCUCACUUACCAAACCCCUAGUCAUCUGCACCCCUUAGCAUUCCCGUAUCAAUAUAAUAUGAAAUGGCUGACCUUCAGACAGCAAUACCUAUUCUGUGCUUUGCUGUAAAUCUGAGGUCUGUUUUAUUAUUAGCUUAUAGAAGUUGUCCCUUAAUAAACACUGAAGUCUUCUGAAAGGGGAAAAGAUGUCAGUCUGGUCCUUUUGACCUGUAGAAGACAUGUAAAUUUACUCAUACUAACUGGAAAGCAACCACUGCAGACAUAAAACCUAAUCCCUUGAAAUAUCAUGUUUGCUCAGUAACAAAGAAAAUUAUGUCUAGGGACACCAAGCAUCAGUUUUAAUUCACAAGCGUAUGUUUUCUAAAUAUAAGGAGCAGCUUUCUCCCUCAUAGUUAAAAAUACAACUAUGUUACCUAUACGAUCCAAUGGACAGCUGUAGCAAACAGAGGUCUGGACUGUACUGGCAGUAACAGAUGAGGCAGUGGCACCAUGCCCAGCUACUCAGGCAGCUGGCUUUUCUAGAUUGGAUUUACCCAUCAGGGGAGUAGAUGUGGGUUCAGUGAGAAGGCAGUCAUUCUGUUAAUUCUCUGUACUGCUAGACC